UACGUAGGGGGCAAGCGUUGUCCGGAUUUAUUGGGCGUAAAGAGCGUGUAGGCGGCCAGACAGGUCCGUUGUGAAAACUCGAGGCUCAACCUCGAGAUGUCGAUGGAAACCGUCUGGCUAGAGUCCGGAAGAGGAGUGUGGAAUUCCUGGUGUAGCGGUGAAAUGCGCAGAGUAUCAAGGAAGAACACCUAUGGCGAAGGCAGCACUCUGGGACGGUACUGACGCUGAGACGCGAAAGCG
rnacentral:rRNA from 1 species